AGAUCCCUUCAUCCAUCAGCCUCAUUUUCUCCAACUGUAAAAGAUAUAAUUCUGUGACUUUUAUUUUUGCCUUCACUUUAGAAGCUGUAGUUCAAGCCUCACUGAAAGGUCUCUUACUCCUUGGCCAGCUCAGGAGGAUGAAUAUGAGCUUCCUCUUCUGUUCCUCCUGCUUUAUCUCCUAUAAAUCACACACAUACAAAUGGACACAGAAGUACUUCAACACAACUAACU
rnacentral:lncRNA from 1 species